rnacentral:tRNA from 1 species
GAAAAGAUAAGCUAAUUUAAACUACUGGGUUCAUACCCCAAUUAUAGAGGUAAAACUCCUCUUCUUUUCA